AACACGACUCUCGGCAACGGAUAUCUCGGCUCUCGCAUCGAUGAAGAACGUAGCAAAAUGCGAUACCUGGUGUGAAUUGCAGAAUCCCGUGAACCAUCGAGUUUUUGAACGCAAGUUGCGCCCGAGGCCUUCUGGUCGAGGGCACGCCUGCCUGGGCGUCACGC
rnacentral:rRNA from 8 species